rnacentral:tRNA from 1 species
GCGGCCGUGGCGGAAACGGUAGACGCACUCGCUUGAGGGGCGGGCGCUUCGGCGUCCGGGUUCGAGUCCCGGCGGCCGCACCA